AUGGGGGAAAAAUUGGUCCAACCGUUGGAGAUGGUCUUAGCUCCUUCCCCAAUCCCAGUCCACCAUCAGUCUCCCUCAAACCCUCUCCCCGCCGUCUCCCAAAACUCACACCCUCUGACCGUGUCUUCGAUCCGCUCCAAGCUCAGCGUCGAUUUCAUCCUUCCGUUCGCGUCUGAGCUCUCCUCCAAAGAGGUUAGUCGAAAAGCCCUUUGGUUUUUCUGGUUUGUGUGGAUUUUAUUGUAUUGUUGAUAAUAAUCCAAUGUGGGUGGAUCUUGUUUCAUCUGGGUUUUGUUCAUUAUCUGUUCUGUUAAUUAUUAUUAAUUAUUGGAAUUUCAAUUUGCUCAUGCCAGAAUGAUGAUCAAAUGGCUGAUCAAGAU
rnacentral:lncRNA from 1 species